GAAGAAGACCAAUAAGAACAAGAAGUGGACAGUCCCUGUCUUCCAGGAGCUCACAAUCUAAUAGAAGAGACAACAAACAAACAAAUAUGUUCAAAUAAGUAUAUAUGGGAUGAAGAAACUGAGGCACAGAGAGGUUAAGCAACUUGCUCACCAUCAUGUACCUGUUGUCCAAAGUUGGAUUUGAAUCCAGAUCUUCCUGCCUCCAACUCUAGUGACCCUUCCACUUUCCACAUAACAUGCUGAGCUUCCAUGGUAGGAAUUAUAUCUAUACCUCAGCAGACACCCAUAAAACUUCUGAAGAAAAUCAGAAACAGAAGCUCACUACCCUGGAAGCUCAUCAAGCUGAUCUGGGAGCUCCCUGAUGAAUCAGUACCUCCAAAUGGCAUCACCAAAUGACUGUGUAAUAUUGGACUGCACCAAAUUGAGGAAGAUUGAAAAGAGACUGGCAUUGUCUCAUCAUCAGGUCCAGAAAGCUUCUUACAUGAUUACUGAUCCACUUUAUCCU